GCGCAUGCUAUACAUGCAAGUCGAACGCUUCUUUCCUCCCGAGUGCUUGCACUCAAUUGGAAAGAGGAGUGGCGGACGGGUGAGUAACACGUGGGUAACCUACCCAUCAGAGGGGGAUAACACUUGGAAACAGGUGCUAAUACCGCAUAACAGUUUAUGCCGCAUGGCAUAAGAGUGAAAGGCGCUUUCGGGUGUCGCUGAUGGAUGGACCCGCGGUGCAUUAGCUAGUUGGUGAGGUAACGGCUCACCAAGGCCACGAUGCAUAGCCGACCUGAGAGGGUGAUCGGCCACACUGGGACUGAGACACGGCCCAGACUCCUACGGGAGGCAGCAGUAGGGAAUCUUCGGCAAUGGACGAAAGUCUGACCGAGCAACGCCGCGUGAGUGAAGAAGGUUUUCGGAUCGUAAAACUCUGUUGUUAGAGAAGAACAAGGACGUUAGUAACUGAACGUCCCCUGACGGUAUCUAACCAGAAAGCCACGGCUAACUACGUGCCAGCAGCCGCGGUAAUACGUAGGUGGCAAGCGUUGUCCGGAUUUAUUGGGCGUAAAGCGAGCGCAGGCGGUUUCUUAAGUCUGAUGUGAAAGCCCCCGGCUCAACCGGGGAGGGUCAUUGGAAACUGGGAGACUUGAGUGCAGAAGAGGAGAGUGGAAUUCCAUGUGUAGCGGUGAAAUGCGUAGAUAUAUGGAGGAACACCAGUGGCGAAGGCGGCUCUCUGGUCUGUAACUGACGCUGAGGCUCGAAAGCGUGGGGAGCAAACAGGAUUAGAUACCCUGGUAGUCCACGCCGUAAACGAUGAGUGCUAAGUGUUGGAGGGUUUCCGCCCUUCAGUGCUGCAGCAAACGCAUUAAGCACUCCGCCUGGGGAGUACGACCGCAAGGUUGAAACUCAAAGGAAUUGACGGGGGCCCGCACAAGCGGUGGAGCAUGUGGUUUAAUUUUCGAA
rnacentral:rRNA from 1 species